UGCAGCGAAAAUGAGCAAACUUAAGCAAGUAGAAGAAGAAUCAACAUCUGGGUGGUCAAAUCUUCCUGAAGGAUUAUCUGAUGAAAUCUUUCUGAGGUUACCAGGUACUUCCAUCUUAUCAUCAAGGUGUGUAUGCAAACACUUUUAUAAUCUACUAUCUAAACCUAGUUUCAUCAAGAAUCAUCUUAAUCAAACUAAACACAACAACCCUAAGAUCUUGUUUAGGCAUACCACGCGAGAUUAUGGUCCUAUGAUUUACUCCAUAGGUAUUGAUAAAUUGCCAUUAGCUGGAUUUGAUGGGUUUGUUCUGAUAAAUUACCCAUUUGAACCCAAGAAUUUAUACGCCCUUAAUCUUUUGGGUUCAUGCAAUGGCUUAGUUUGUUUAAUGUUUUCUAGAAUUGAUGAUAUUGGUGAUUAAGGAAGGAGAUGUGUUGUGAAAACCGAGUAUUUCUGUAUUUUUAACCCAUUAACAAAAGAAUUUAAGGAAUUUACAAGGCCUGAAGAGAUUUACGGCGACGACGUUACCUAUGGAUUUGGUUAUGACACCAACACUGAUGAUUACAAACUAGUUAUAAUAUCAGAUUAUGGUGGUUGCUUCAAAAUCGAUAUUUACACACCGAGAAAAGAUUCAUGGACUAGUAUUCAGGGAGACGUCGGAUUCUCAUUUCGGUCUCGUAAAGGAUAGUAUGGUGUGUCUUUCAAUGGAUGUCUUCAUUGGCUGGGACGAAUCGACACUCACGGAACCUCCUCCCAAGUUAUCUUCUCUUUUCUUAUUAGCAAUGAGAUAGUGGUGAAUAUGCCGUUACCUGAAAAUAUUAUGCCACCUGCAGAUUAUUCUGGAGAUGUUUAUAAAAAUGUGGGAGUGUGGGGAGACUGUAUCGGUAUCGCUUGUAUCUGGAAAUCAGUUAAAGUUGAUGUGUGGGUGAUGCAGGAAUAUGGAGAGAAAGAAUCUUGGAUCAAAAAAUAUACCAUAACCCAGCUACCAUCGCCCCCGCGAAAAAUUCCAUUUUGGAGGCCUCUAUGGUGUUUUGACAAUGGGAAAAUACUAGUAGAUAAUGAUAGGGAACAAUUACAUUUAUAUGAUCCAACAAUUAAAAUAGUUAGACUGAUGGUGGUCCGUGGUAUGAAUAUGGACAAUAGUCGAGUGAGUUAUGUGGAGAGCAUAGUCUCAGUUGGCUCUGGUACUUAUCUGAAGAAACCGAUUACAGAUGGGGUCGUGAAGAAUUCCGAGCUGCAAUGGUUGAGAUGAAUAAGAACUGUCGGAGAGAAGGCUCUAAUGAUCUCAUCAUUAUCACAAUCACCACAACAAUGGAUCCCUGCAACUUUAGACUGACCAUUUAAGGAAGAGUCUUUUCUUGGUUGAGCAAUGGUCCGUGAAGGUUUCUGCCAGUGAAGAAGUUUACCUUUUGUUGGAGUUUCUAAAUGCUUCCGAGUGAAGCUGCAAAUAGCCUGAUCUAAAACUAGUUAAGUACUUUAUCUUUCCACACUCCCUAAAUUGCUUUGUCAACGGCCAGAUUGUCACACCCAAAUGCAUAAUCAAAGUAAUGAGACAGUAUAUUCAUAUGAGUUUUAAUUUGACAAGUUUAUUGAUUUAACAAGAUCAGACAUGUUAUAGCAAAUCUUUCAGGUUCUUUAUUAUUGUGUUCUCGAGUGUUUCGGUCUUUUAGCUAGUCAUCGAUACAAUGGGAAAUUUCGUUGAAGACCUGAACAUGUUCGAGCAAAAGUGAGAGCACCACAUCCACUCCGCCAUCUCCAUUGCAAGAAGGCAAGAAAUUCAUGAAACCUUCGGUUUGAUUUUUGGGUACCGGAAAAAAUGCACAUGGACUUCGACUGCCGAAAUCAAGUUCAUGAAAUGGAUACCCCAACCAGCUAUCCACUUGCAAAUUUGGACAAUGUGUUUCCGUAAUCCGGUUCCAUUGCAUCUAGCUCCUCAUCUUCUAGAGACUCUUUACCUUCGACUUCUUCUGAGAAAUCAAUGAACGACUUGAAGUAGCGGCUAUCGAGGCGGCUGACCGCGUCGUGAAUUGUUUUUGCAACAUAUGCAUGAGUGUUCUGCAACAAGUCCUGAACCUUCAAACUUGGAUAAGCCCAUAGUACUAAGUUACCGAAAUACUCCAUUGGCACUGCAGGUUCAAUUCUUGUUCUUCCAUUCACUGCAAUUCUUACUUGUGUCGACGUUUCGAAGUCUGAGUCCCCGAGCUUCAGUCACUUUCUUCCAUGUAUGAGAAAGUAAACACUCAAAAGUACUGAACUUUUGCUCAUCGCCCGGAAACUUAGCUUUGAGCAUAUCAAUGAAUUCAGAAGAGUAAUUGAUGAUGAUCGUUUCGACGGAAGGUGAUUCGACCGGGGUACUCGUAUCAUCCCUAUCGAACUCAAUUGACCGGUGAUCAAAUUCAACGCUGAGUGGUUUCCUUGGUCGACAAACAGCAGAUCGAUCAUGAAAUGGAAGUGGCUCUACGUCGAGACCACGAACCACUCUCGCCCAUGCGACAAAGAAAGAAGUCAUGGAUUGGGCAUCAGCUACACGAGAAUGGUAAGUUGCACCGAUAGCUAAACCACCACAUGAGAAUCUGUUGAGCUGAAUUUGGAGAAAGUCGGACUGAUCUUCAGGUGGAAGAAGCUGUCUAACUUCUUCUGAUGACGGAUUGAGCGGAAGUUGAUCGGCUAGUGUUGUUGCAAUGAGAGUUUCGGUCACAAGAACACCCCAAUUGUUAAGAAAGAAACAAGUUCAGACAUUAAUAAAUGAAAGCCUUCCUACUAAAUGCGGGUAAUGAAGCAGGACUUUUGCGAGUGCAGCUUUCAAGUCUUCGUUUGAUGGCACGGUUGCUUCGAACGCGUAAAACGCAGAUGUGUAGUUUUCGUACGCUGCUCUGUCGAAUACCGUCUGAGGAACCAUAGGAGAAUUAUGCGGAUUGUUACUCCCAGAAUCGAAGUAAUGAUCCUCUUCCUCCCAAAGCUGAGCUUGUGUUAGAUAUGGAGAAGAAGAACCGGCUCUCACGUAUACGGUGUUGAUCAAAUUUGCCAUUGCAAAAUUAAGAUGCUUGAUGAAGUUAUUGCUGCUAUGUUGAAGAGUCGAAGCAAUUUGUGAUUCCUUGAAACCAUUCUUGCUUGAGGACGUUUUUAUAAUGAAUUGAAUUGU